UACAGAGGGUGCAAACGUUGCUCGGAAUUAUUGGGCGUAAAGCGCGUGUAGGCGGUUUUGUAAGUCGACUGUGAAAGCCCUCGGCUCAACCGGGGAAGUGCAGUCGAUACUGCAAAACUGGAGUGCCGGAGAGGAUAGCGGAAUGCCCAGUGUAGAGGUGAAAUUCGUAGAUAUUGGGUAGAACACCGGUGGCGAAGGCGGCUAUCUGGAAGGUAACUGACGCUGAGACGCGAAAGCGUGGGGAUCAAACAGG
rnacentral:rRNA from 1 species